CUCAGACACUAACUCUCCCUCUGCAUUACCACAAUCACUUUUCUCUGUCUGCUCUCUUACAACUCACUCAAUCAGAUCAGCACCAGCAGGGAGGCUAUGCCUUGAAGUUCUUCAAUAGCUUCCCAAUUGUGAAAUUGUGGGCACCUAUAUCCCCUUGAAGCCUCUAGGGAAGCUGCUUCUGCUUUUACUUUCCCAGCAUCCCCAGUUUCUGGACAAAGAGAGCUAUUCAACUUUGAUUUUGCUUCCUUUUUCUCUAUAAAAGAGAGUGAUCGUCAGGCUGGGAAGAUAGAAGAACAAAGUUAACUGGGAGUUCAAACUGAAGACUGGUGAGGUGGAGAAUGAAGAACAACCAACAUUAUCUGACUUGAAGCACUGGAGGUCUAGGUAGGAUUAUUUAUUCCUCUCCAGGCUUCACUCUGGACUUCCUCUACCAUGGCCCAACUCCACAUCCUGAAACUCUCCCAAGUCCUGGACUUAUUAUAUUGAAGUCAUUUUCUAGUGGUUCAACCCUAAUUCAGUCUAACCUACAGUUGGAACCUGGGGAUUGGGUCUAUUGGAAAAGGCAGCUGUGCAAGGAUUCCUUACAGCCCAGAUGGAAAGGCCCCGACCAAGUGCUGCUGACCAACCCCUUGGCUGAAAGCUGGACCCACUUAUAACAUCUGAAGAAGACUCUGACUCCUGAAUGGAUGGCCAGACAUACCAGCAAUACCAAGUUUCGCCUGACCAGGAAAAAGAAGCAGACAACAUCAGUGUAGACUAUGGUCCCAAGAUGCCCAGACAUGGCCUGAGAAUCCUGUUUCAUGCCCCAACACUAUUUUUGGUCAUGAGGAAUUCCAGAAUUCCUCUUGACCAAGAGGAGAGAAUGAGAACUACAAAAUUUACUGAGAAUUGAUUCCCUACCCUGUCCCCUCUUUCCUAGAUAAAUGAAUUGCCUGGGGCUGACUGUCUGUGUCAUUUUCAGACUCUUGAUGGACUUAUGGACCUUUCCCCAAGCAAAUUAUCCCCUCCCAAUGUUCCCCACCUUAAU